GUGGGAAAAAUCAAUGCAAGUCAUAUUUACCAAAUAUUGACAAAAUCAAAAUUGCUUCUAUGUGAAUAUCUAUAACAAUAGCAAAUUCAUUACUCUGUUCCAAGCAUAUUGGUUCACAUCAGUGCUAAUGUUCACAUGCAAACAAUUAGUUAAAACAAAUUACACAAAUUUGGAACACCUGAAGAUCACAUAGUACAUUCCUAGGUACCAGUCAG
rnacentral:lncRNA from 1 species